CCCUUAGAUGUUCGGGGCCGCACGCGCGCUACAAUGAGUCGAUCAACGAGCGUUCUUUUUUCCAAGUCCGAAAGGUCGAGGUAAUCCGUUGAACCCGACUCGUGCUAGGGAUAGGGAAUUGUAAUUGUUUCCCUUGAACGAGGAAUUCCCAGUAAGCGCAAGUCAUCAGCUUGCAUUGAUUACGUCCCUGCCCUUUGUACACACCGCCCGUCGCACCUACCGAUUGAAUGGUCCGGUGAAAUCUUGGGAUUUUGUUUUGUUUGCAUUUAUUUGUAUCGAGACGAGAGAACUUGAGUAAACCUUACCAUUUAGAGGAAGGUGAAGUCGUAACA
rnacentral:rRNA from 1 species